CCAAAAGCUCCACCCACAACCCCCCUCUCAGAGGUCUGUUUCAUUGUUCAUGGUGGGCAAAUUCCUGUGGGGGGGAGGGUGUUCCAGACUCCCCUAUCCUUAAUAUUAUUGAAAUGCUAUUGCCUAAAUAAUUUUUGCCUACAGAGCCAACAGGUCUGUAGACGAUGCAGUCAUGGCCCUUCACUUCAUCCUCCAGCCCCUGGACUCCUCAGGAACCUACGCCAGGAUCCUGUUUGUGGACUUCAGCUCUGCCUUCAACGCAAUCAUCUUGAAUCUGCUACAGGAGAAGCUCUUCCAGCUGAGUUUGCCUGACUCAACCUGCAGGUUGAUCACAGACUUCCUUGUCUGACAGGAGGCAACGCGUGAGGCUGGCUGCACCUCCAGUCACCAGCCCGUCAAACUCCUUAAGUUCGCGGAUGACACCACCCUAUUUGGGCUCAUCUCUGGUGGGGAUGAGUCCACCUACAGGUGGGAGAUUGACCAUCUGGUGACAUGGUGUGAUUAGAACAACCUGGAGCUCAAUGCUCUGAAAACAGUGGACACGGUUGUGGACUUCAGAAGGAACCCAGCCCCACCCACCCCCAUCACCCUGAGA